CCUACGGGAGGCAGCAGUGGGGAAUAUUGGGCAAUGGGCGCAAGCCUGACCCAGCAAUGCAGCGUGAAGGAAGAAGGCUCUCGGGUUGGAAACUUCUUUGACAGGGGGAGAGCAGAAGACGGUACCCUGAGAACAAGCCACGGUUAACGACGUUCCAGCAGCCGCGGUCAUACGGAGGUGGCAAGCGUUGUCCGGAUUUACUGGGUGUAAAGGGCGUGUAGCCGGGAAGGCAAGUCAGAUGUGAAAUCUGGAGGCUCAACCUCCAAAUUGCAGUUGAAACUGUUUUUCUUGAGUACUGGGGAGGCAGACGGAAUUCCUUGUGUAGCGGUGAAAUGCGUAGAUAUAAGGAGGAACACCAGUGGCGAAGGCAGUCUGCUGGACAGCAACUGACGGUGAGGCGCGAAAGCGUGGGGAGCAAACAGGAUUAGAUAUCCCAGUAGUC
rnacentral:rRNA from 1 species